CGCGGCGCCGCCGAGCCCCCCGUGCGCCCCGCGCGGGCAGGUGCGUCCGCGGCCCGCAGCGCGUCUCCCGGCCCCCGCGUGCGGGCCCAGCCUGGAGACCGACGAAAGGCUGUGGAAGCCGACUGGGACGACGUGGAUGCAGACAAUGUCCUGGCAAUUACAGCCCUUUGCAUGUGCAGUGAUUCACUCCCCACUGAAUCGUGAAGGAAUAGAAAGCAAAACUGAAAAGAAUGAGGAUAAAAUUCUCAAAACGAUAAGCCACCACGCUCCUGUCAUGCUGCUCAGCGCAGAAGGAAAUUCACUGCUCCUCCGCAGAUGAUCAUGGGCAGCAGGAAAUGGGAAAUCAAGGCCGCUCUGUUUUCCCGGAGCAAAUCCCGACAGCGGUACUGAGCACAGGAAGCGAGGGCAGCAGAGCCGCAAAGCCAGCCAGGCUCCCUGAGACGAUCGCCAUGCUUCAAGCCGCGGAGCUGGUGCAGAAUUACCAGGUGCCUCGGGCUCCCUUCCAAGGAGAAGCUUCUGGCAGGAAGGUGGAAAGCAAGAAAGCUGGUGCCAUCAGGGUGGCCAUGUGGCGGAAGGGGAGGAGCACAGACUUUGAGGACAGACGGAGCUGGUUAGGGUUUUUACCUCAGUCAUCUUCCAUAUAUUCGAGGUACAACACGCUUCUCAAAAGUUACACUGUGUGCAAGUCACCUGGAGAACCUGGUAAAAUGCAGAUUCGGACUCAGUAGGUUUGGGGGUGGGGGGGACUCAAAACGUCACAUUUCUAAUAAGCUCCUAAAAAUACCAGUGCUGCAGAACUGUGACCCGCACCUUGAGAAACAAGGGGCUUGAGCAAGCUGCUUUGUUUCUGAGUGUCGUUUACCCCCUCUGAAAUUUAGAGAGAUAGUAUCUAAUUACAUAAUUGGAGCUUUGAUUAUAAAUAAUGUAUGUAAAGAAUCUAGCACAGUGCUUGGCACAUCAUAGGUGUCCAGUAAGUGGUACUUGUGUUGAAUCUUCCCCCAUUCAAUCCACUUCAAAUGUUUUGCCAGUUUAAGCAAAUGGUAGACAGACCAGGAUGCUUCUGUUAGGUGUGAUGACAACAUUUGCCUGUCUAAACAUACAUUUGGAAUGGUAUGUGCAUUUUCAUGUACAUUGCUGGGUUCAUUUUUUUAAUGAGCGACUGUUCAGCUGCUGAAAAUUUCCGGGUCCCCUUUCUCCCCUUGACUGAUACAGUAGUAUAAUGCAAUAUAGUCAGAGAAAAAAGUGUGAAACGAACAAAAGAUAGCAUUUUAACAACUAAUACAACCUUAGGCACUUUUAAAAGGAAGAAAUAAAACUGGCUAGGAUUUUAGAUAUGUUGUUCAAAUAACUUGAUGUACACAAUGUUAAAGAAGCUUGCCUGCGGUCAAAGUGCUGCUGACAUGCUGAGAAUAAAGACCCAGUGAAGCCACGGAAGGGUCUGUGGGUCUCAAGUCUGUUUUCCCCUGUUACAAAAACUCUUCGUAUCUCUUUUACAUUUCAACAGUCUAAGGUUUUACCACUUGGCGUAAUUUCUUUGGUAACUGUUUCUACAAAGUUAGGCUUUUGACAUAAUUAGGAGCUCUAUUCUGGUGACAGCACAGGCAUCCUGCAAUUACCCGCUGCAUUCGAUGGUAAUUACCUACACUGCCUUUUUCCCCUGUGGCGGAGCAGGCCUGCCCCAUUGUGAUACGGUGGUAAGUGUGGGAAACGCUUUCUUGUGAGGACUGGCUGUGCCGAGGCCUGCUACCUUUCUCUGUAGGGUAUAGAAGAUUGAUACAAAGUGCCUAGAUUACGCCAUCAUUUCCCUUUCUGUGUACAUCCUGCCAGUGGCUUUAACUUGAGUUGGUUUUGUGAGCCGAUGAGAAUUUUAGCCAAAGAAGACACAUGGUCAAGUGAUAAGAUGUUCUGUAUGUAAAAACAUCUGAGUUGUAUUUUGUUUCCUUGAGUAAGGCUUUGAAAACUAUAUGACAGUAAGUUAAACUGAUUUUCCAGAAACAACAUCUCUUAAAAAUCUAACUAGCUAGGGCAACUUUUCUUCACAGAUAAUCUGAAAGUAGAAUCAAUCACAUUUUUAAUUAAUAUGACACAGUACUCCUUUCCUAAAAAGUUCAAAGGAAUUUUGUAUAAAUGAGAUGAUUUCCCUUCAGAACAUAUUUAGAAUAUAAGUAGGAAAAUGCCACUGUGAUCUCAUUAGAAUAUAUAAAAGAGGGAAAACAUGUCUCCAGGAAGUGAUUCCAGACUAGAUUCUGGGGCGUUUGUGUCCUGGGGCCUCCAGUUGUCUCACUCUCUUAUCAGUGAGGGAUGUGCUGUAGCUAAACGUUUGGUUUCCUCAGGAGACAUCACCUCCCUUGGUCCUGUGUGAUCGUUGAGAAGUUAAAUUAACCAAAAACUAUUGAAUAAGCAUCUGCUACACACGAGGCAUCAUGAUUGGUGUUGAGUAAAAAUAGGCAUGCGGGAAACCACCAUGGAUGGUUCUGGUCUUCACGGAACGCAUGCUCUUACAGGGCAGCAGGUGCCAGACGGCAGGGAUUUGGAGCUCAGAGUCCAGGCUGGGCUGAAGACCUCGGUUCUGGGGCUGACACAAACAGUAAUGGAAGGUCUGGGAAUGAAUAAGGUGGGCUGGAGCAGCAGUCGUCAACCCUUAGUCUUGCUUCAGAAUAAUUCAGGGAGCUUCCCAAAGUUCUGAAGCUUAGGCUCCUAUCCUAGACCAGGAGCUGAGACUGUCUCCUGGCGGGGGGCCAUGCUGGUAUUUUUAAAAGCCCCCCAGGGGAUCCUGUACAGCCAGAACUGAGAACUGGUCUAGAGAGGAGGGGGAAAGACAGAUAAAAAAAGUUACAGAAAGCCUAAUCCUAGCUGUUACUGAGAUUAAAAAAAAAACUACUUUUUAAAGGGAGUUGACAUCCACGUUCUUAAGUGUUGAGGAAAAUAAUUUUGUCUGUAGGAUAAAGGAAGGGUUCUACUCCGUCCUCACUUCCCCAUUGCAUGUGUAGAUAAUUUGGAACCUUGACCCUCUUCCUCAAGCGUCACGAUGACAGAGCAGCCUCGUAGGGUCCCGGAGUCUGCACAGUUUGACCGGCACUGGGUAUUUCUGAAGUUGGAUCAGUGUAAGGGUCAAAAUAGCCCUGGAAACAUCCCAAGAAAAAAAGUUGUCACCAUGUAUGGUGACAGAUGUUAAGAAGACUU